AAAUUUCAAAUGGUUGUCCCUCACCCACAGAGGCACGAGGUUACCACAACCCAUUCAAAUCAAUGGUUAGAUGCUACAUGAUUUGUUUCAGCAGAAAGAAACAGGAAAAACAAAAAAAUCAAAAUUAAAAAGAAGGGGGGAUGAAGCCCGCUAAGUCGAAAACUUGCAAAACGAGUGACUUAGGCAAAAAUUAGGGCAUCCCUGUGGAUUGUAAAUCUGAGCCAAUCCAGCAAAAGUAGGGAAAUCGAAAAAAAA
rnacentral:lncRNA from 1 species